UACAGAGGGUGCGAGCGUUAAUCGGAAUUACUGGGCGUAAAGGGUGCGUAGGUGGCUAGAUAAGUUGGGUGUGAAAGUCCUGGGCUCAACCUGGGGACUGCGCUUGAUACUAUUUGGCUAGAGUCUUGUAGAGGAAAGUGGAAUUUCCGGUGUAGCGGUGAAAUGCGUAGAGAUCGGAAGGAACAUCAGUGGCGAAGGCGACUUUCUGGACAAAGACUGACACUGAGGCACGAAAGCAUGGGGAGCAAACAGG
rnacentral:rRNA from 1 species